CCCUUUGCUGCGCUCCGAAAAUCGCAACCUUGCUGGGCUUCUGGUUGCCGAUCUAGUUUUUGCCCUCCCGCUUCUUCAUUAGGUCCUUGAGAGAGCUGUGAAACACAGAUCUAUCCUGUUCAGUGCUGCGGGCCCGCGCUCUGGAAAGUUUCUGCAUUUCUUUGAGCGGCUGCUUUCCCCACCGAGUUUCCCGGGGCCCGGGCACCCGCAGCCCUCCUCUCUCUGCAGAACGUGAGGGGCGUGAGCAGUCGGGCGGUGGGCUCGUCUCUCCCCGGCUGCUGCCCAUGCAGCCAUCUCUCAUUCUCCUCUCCCUAGUGAGCCCUUCUGGAAGAAAUUGGGCCCUAAGUGUGGUCUCAGCUCUCUCAAGUGAUGGGGAGCCUUGGAGAUGGUUUGAGAACCAAGUUCUGCACGCUAGUAUCCAUUCUCCCAACUGAUAAUGACGCUUCAGUUGCCCGUAAGGAAGACCCUCCUUCCCCCAUUGGAUACAACCUUACUUCGACUGUUACUCAAGGUGUCCUACCCUCCUCUGGCCAGUGGAAAUUAAUAAGGAAUCUUCAGAGGAAGCAACAUUCUCUGGAAAGCAGACUCUUGCCAGCUCUGGUCGCUCUUCCCAGUCUUCAUGCACCUGCAGGGCUGUCAACACUGGGAGGACUGGAAGAAAUUUGUAAAGAGUCUGGGAGUCUUCAGAGAGGAAAAGAGUGCAGACCUGGACUCCUCCUUUUCCAAUGUCUUUAUUAUUAGAAGGUUUUCUAUGCAUUGAGCCGGUUCUGAUUAAGAAAGGAUCUAAUAAGAAGGAACAUUGAAGACCUUAAGCUGUUAGCCCUGCUGUGGCCGGCAUUACCCGAUGGGACAGGCUAUCCGGUCAUGGGCACGACUGGAGGCAGAAGGCCCUCCUGACCCGGCCACUGUGCUCUGUAAACUAAAAAGCUGUUGGCGCGGAUGCCAUGUCUUACCUCUGAGGAGCAGGCUGCUUCUCUCUUGACGAAUCGCUGUGGCCACUAUUGGAAUCUGCAACAGCAAAGGCCAGCGCACACCAGGCGAAAAGGUCACCCUGGCCUGUGGGGGAUCCGUUUUCAUCAGUAAACGGUGCCAGGAGCAGAACACCAGCAGCCUUCAGCUUGUAUUCUCUCAGACUCUCUGGUUUUCUCCCUCUGAGGUGGAUCAAGAGGCCCCCAGAGUUUUUGAACAAUUUGAUAGACAAGAGAGACCUUGGACUCCCUGCUAGUCUGGCAAUUGAGAAGUGGUUUUAAUUUGGAAAAAAUAACAGGUGGGACCUCAUUUUUACCCAAAACUAUUGAAGUAGAUCCUACUAUUACCACA
rnacentral:lncRNA from 1 species